UGUUUGUUGUAAUUUAGUUUGGCGCCUUUCCCAAUCCAAAAACACCAUUUAUUUCCCAAAUUUGUCAAACUUUUAUUUAAAAACUUCCCUAUCUGCCUGCCAUCAGGCCAUCCUUAAAAAUUCUUUUGUUUGGCAUAACCUGACCAACCCACUAAAAUCGGCCCCACUGAAUUUUUUUUUGUUACUUUCAAAAAAAAAUUUUUUUUUUGCUCGCCGAAACUUCUUUCCGCUUAAUUUGUCCUUUCCGCCUUUUAUCCUUUCCGGUUAUUUGCGUCAUUUAAUUGAAUGCUCUUUCAAGGAUGUCUAGAAUAGCAAUGAACACAGCGCGUACUGGUAUUUAUUUCAGUCGCCUAUUUAUUUGACAUAUGCAUAUACGAUUAAUUAGACUUUAAAUACAAUUAAACCGCUCUUGUUUUUCUUGAGCCAAAUUUUCAAUAGUUUUUCAAAUGACUCAAAUUGCGAACAACAGCGCGAGCAUUGCCAACGUGUUAUUAUUGGAAUAAAUGCUCACUACUAGAGGGCUCGCACUGUCGUUAGCCAUUUGUGAAAGUAUAGCGAAUUUGGCUCUAGAAAAAUAUAAUUUGCGAAUAUGCUUAAAUCUCGUUAAUUUCAUUGAAAACAUCCGCCAUUUUAAUCCGGAGUGUUUUUUUAAAACUAUUUUUAACCAGGUUUUCCGAAGGAAAAAACUGGUUAUUAGAUUGGCGAAUGCGGGCGGGCUGGCUGGCGGGCUGGCGGAAUAAGCUUGUCCGGGCCAUAACUAUGUCGUUCAUUGUCAGAUUUUAAAAUCAUUUGGCACAUUUGUUCACCAUCAUUGGACGGUGUGUCGCGCGAAAUAAUUACGGCGAUAUCUCCAAGGUCAAGGUCACACUUUGAGUUCAAAGGUCAAAAAU